rnacentral:lncRNA from 1 species
UAAAUAUUACAUGUAUUUUCUACAAAUCGAGUCAAACUUGUGGCACAAAAACUUAAAACGACAUUUUUUUUUUUAACGGAGCGAGUACCCACGAUCUCACGCACAGCAAACCGCAUCCGCACGCAAUCUCAUUGUCCUUCUCACGCACACCCACCCACCGCUGCCACCCCCUCCUCACCGUCUCACGGCACUCCGCGUGGCACCGGCACCGUCUCAGGCAGACAGAU